UGAAAAUAAAGAUUUUUAGACCGUUAUCAGGAAGAAAUGAUACGCGGGGCCCAAGCCCACCAAAUAAAUAACAACCCAAAAACAUGGAGAAGGGUAAAGUGGACUUUUGGCUACAUAAAGAGGGGUGUGCAUAGCAUAGGAGGGGCGACAUUAGUGAUUGUAUUUGCUGCAUAUGCGCAUAGUUUUUCACAGGUGUUUCAUAAGGCUUUCUAGAAGCCAUACACACUUUGCACAUGCGUAAUGAGCUGGCCUAAGAUCCGUAAAUUGUGGAUCUAGGCAUUUCCCAUGCAUGACCUUGAGAUUGAUCUAUAAAAUCUCAUUGGCAAAGCUUGUAACUCACUUUUGGAAUCAUAUUGUUGAAACUCUGCUGAAAUGAUUAGCAAGUUCCUCUCCAAGAGUCAUCUUCCUAGCUUAUCUUCCAUUGCAACUUUCUUCCAUAUCAUGGGAGCCUUCUGAGUUGUGAUUCAUUCUUCUAAGCUAACAUCCAUCUCCCUUCACCAUAGCUUCACUACUUUCGCUGCCUACCAUCCAAAAACCUCCAACAACUUUACAUUGCUGAGCAUCCAGAUCUGGCUUGCUUCUGCCGAGCAUUGUUCCAUUAAAGUGCUUCAACCGUACUGCCUCAUUCUGCCUCUGAACUCACGGAUCUGCAAGCUACCUCAUACCUUUGCUCUUGUUUUUCUCUUUUUAAUCUCUCAUCUCUAUAUUUGCUUGUCUCUUCCCAUAACCUCUUAAGAUUUUCUAGAAACUCACUUUCCCUACGAGAGAACCCACUUAGAUUGUUAAUGAAUGACUGGCCUUCUCUAAUAAGCUCUCUCAUAAGUUCUAAGUNNN
rnacentral:lncRNA from 1 species